rnacentral:rRNA from 1 species
CCUACGGGCGGCUGCAGUGGGGAAUAUUGGACAAUGGGCGAAAGCCUGAUCCAGCCAUGCCGCGUGUGUGAAGAAGGUCUUCGGGUUGUAAAGCACUUUCAGUGGGGAAGAAAGCCUUGGGGCUAAUACCCUCGAGGAAGGACAUCACCCACAGAAGAAGCACCGGCUAACUCCGUGCCAGCAGCCGCGGUAAUACGGAGGGUGCGAGCGUUAAUCGGAAUUACUGGGCGUAAAGCGCGCGUAGGCGGUCUGAUAAGCCGGUUGUGAAAGCCCCGGGCUCAACCUGGGAACGGCAUCCGGAACUGUCAGGCUAGAGUGCAGGAGAGGAAGGUAGAAUUCCCGGUGUAGCGGUGAAAUGCGUAGAGAUCGGGAGGAAUACCAGUGGCGAAGGCGGCCUUCUGGACUGACACUGACGCUGAGGUGCGAAAGCGUGGGUAGCAAACAGGAUUAGAUACCCCUGUAGUC